CGACCGGCGCACGGGUGCGUAACGCGUAUGUAACCUGCCUGUAAUUAGGGGAUAGCUCGGUGAAAGUCGAAUUAAUACCCUAUAUUCUAUUUUAUCCGCAUGGGUUUUAUAGGAAAGAUUUAUUGAUUACAGAUGGGCAUGCGUUCCAUUAGCUUGUUGGUGAGGUAACGGCUCACCAAGGCAACGAUGGAUAGGGGGACUGAGAGGUUGACCCCCCACACUGGUACUGAGACACGGACCAGACUCCUACGGGAGGCAGCAGUGAGGAAUAUUGGUCAAUGGGCGGAAGCCUGAACCAGCCAAGUCGCGUGAAGGAAGACGGUCCUAUGGAUUGUAAACUUCUUUUGUAGAGGAAUAAUGGCGUCCACGUGUGGAUGAGAGGAAUGUACUCUACGAAUAAGUAUCGGCUAACUCCGUGCCAGCAGCCGCGGUAAUACGGAGGAUACGAGCGUUAUCCGGAUUUAUUGGGUUUAAAGGGUGCGUAGGUGGCGAACUAAGUCAGUGGUGAAAAGCUGCAGCUCAACUGUAGUCUUGCCGUUGAAACUGGUUUGCU
rnacentral:rRNA from 1 species